UACGGAGGGUGCAAGCGUUAUCCGGAUUCACUGGGUUUAAAGGGUGCGUAGGCGGUUUGAUAAGUCAGUGGUGAAAGCUCGCAGCUUAACUGUGAAACUGCCAUUGAAACUGUCAGACUUGAGUACAAUUGAAGUGGGCGGAAUACAUCAUGUAGCGGUGAAAUGCUUAGAUAUGAUGUAGAACACCGAUUGCGAAGGCAGCUCACUAAAUUGCAACUGACGCUGAGGCACGAAAGCGUGGGUAGCGAACAGG
rnacentral:rRNA from 1 species